rnacentral:misc_RNA from 1 species
UAACUCGUUCCUCUCUGGGCC